rnacentral:misc_RNA from 1 species
CGAUCCACUAUUAAUAGAAGCCCUUCUCUUCCUGGACAUCACUAUGCAUGGAGUAAUUCCUAUCACCCACAGUCUCCAGGCAUGAUAUGGCCAAACUCACCAUCGUUUGUCAAUGGAAUUUCAAUGGCUCAUGCUACAGUGCAGUUGCAUGGACCUCCUAGAGCACCACCUCCGGUUCUUAACACUGUUUUACCUGUAAAUAACCACCAUGUGGGAUCAGCACCA